rnacentral:rRNA from 1 species
UGGGGAAUAUUGCACAAUGGGCGAAAGCCUGAUGCAGCAACGCCGCGUGAGUGAUGAAGGUCUUCGGAUUGUAAAGCUCUGUCUUUUGGGACGAUAAUGACGGUACCAAAGGAGGAAGCCACGGCUAACUACGUGCCAGCAGCCGCGGUAAUACGUAGGUGGCGAGCGUUGUCCGGAUUUACUGGGCGUAAAGGGUGCGUAGGCGGAUGUUUAAGUGAGAUGUGAAAUACCCGGGCUUAACUUGGGUGCUGCAUUUCAAACUGGAUAUCUAGAGUGCAGGAGAGGAGAAUGGAAUUCCUAGUGUAGCGGUGAAAUGCGUAGAGAUUAGGAAGAACACCAGUGGCGAAGGCGAUUCUCUGGACUGUAACUGACGCUGAGGCACGAAAGCGUGGGUAGCAAACAGGAUUAGAUACCCUGGUAGUCCACGCCGUAAAACGAUGAGUACUAGGUGUAGGAGGUAUCGACCCCUUCUGUGCCGCAGUAAACACAUUAAGUACUCCGCCUGGGAAGUACGAUCGC